ensembl:lincRNA
GCAGAGAGGUGAUUGGGGGUGGACACCUGCUGGGUGCAUCAUGUUCUUCUCCAGGUCAUGGCUGGCAGGGACAGAAGGAGAGGCCUGGGGUUGGUGCCCAUCUGCUCAGAGAUUGAUCCAGAUCUACAGAGUUGUCAUUUCCCUGCUGGGAGGAGGUCUAUACUUAUAGGUCUUUGCCUCGUCUGGAAGUAGAACUUGAUGUAGGGCUGUUCCUCUUGGGGAUAACCAGUCAGGGUCCUGAUGCCUUGUGGCCCUGCUGAUGACCCUAUCAUUGCAGAGCUCAUCCAGCUCAGAGCAGGAUGACUGUGUCGACUGUGUCAUCGACACCACUUCGCUGAGCAGGGUGCCCGUGCACACGGCCACCAACAGAAGCCAGAAGAGAAGAGAGGGUCCACCCUCCAUCUGGCCAGGGCUUUUAGAGCCUUUGAGAGCGAUCAUUAUGGGCUCGAGGAAGACAUCAUCUGGAGGCAGAUUGUCAUCACUGCUCCCUGCACAGAGGACAACCUCGGGCCCGACCACCUGGGCGAGGAGUUCCCAUUCUCCUCUGGGCUUGGAAUGCACGACCAUACCGUGAGGCCCACACAACUCGUCCUGCACAGGCUCCUCACCGGGUGAGAACCAGGCCCCUUCCACAUCCAUGACUCACUCCACAUUUCUUGUUCACUGGGUCCGUCAACUCCCUUCUCGCAUCUCUCCUCGUCCGUCAGGUGGUAGGAGUGAGGGGACACACACCACGGGUUCCUAUGCAGAACCUAAGCACAUUAGCUAGGGAUAGUUGAAACCAGGUCUGAUGGGCUGACCGAGGCCCAGGGGCUUAUCAGAUUGUUUUCUUCCCUCUGCUGGGGAGCGUCUGUCACAGCCUUCAACACCCUCUCGGAAGGGACACGACUCUUUCCCAUGUUGCAAGAAUGUUGAGAAAUCCGUCCCGGAGGUCCCAUCUGAAUUUCCUAGGAGAGCAGCGUUCUCUGGGCUUUCAGAGGGUUGUCCAGACCCACUGUGACAUGGGGAAAAGCGAUCGUGGAGCACAACUGACAAAUAGAUUCUGCCUACCUAUAUGUGGAGGGACAUUGACAGAUUUAGCUUCGCUGGAGGAAUGAAGCAGAAAAAUUGUCUGCCCCCUGAGCAUGCACUCCCGUAGGGCGUCAGAAGCUACACUUGAUCUCAUGAGCAUGGGGGUCCACAGCAAGUUGGUGUGAUGGUCACGGCUCUCUCUGGGUAUGGGCAAGUCCUCCUGGUUUGUCAAGGAGAUGAAAACACUGGGCACCCCUUAACAAUGUGAGUGGCCCAUAGGUCAGAACAAAGGGCUCCAAACUCCACAGCUGAGUCGGAAAUGUGCAGUGCCUGUAGAGGUGGAGGGGUAGAGGGGUCUACUCAUGUGUCACAAAGAUGUGACAUUUUCCCUGCUUGGUUUCAUCUAACCCACUUAAACCAUAGCAAUCACCGGAUCCAUGGUCCUAGGGAAGAAGAAGUGUUGAGCAAACUGCUAAUCUCUCUGCCUGGAUGGUCUGGUGAGGGAGUUGAGCUGUCUAGGCAAGGUGGGACAAGGCAGUGCCCCUGGUAAGAAAGAAAUGGUAGGAAAGGGAGGAGACACACAGAGGCCUGCUUGAAUAGGCCAGGUCUUGCUCCCUCGGCCUCAGGCCGAGGUACAGUUAGGACCUGGAAAAGGGGGCAGCAGUUCCCCAUUCACCAGGCAUUUCAGAGCGGCUCGAUUUUGGUGCAGUGCAUUGACUGAAGCAGUCGCUGCUUUUCCCUGCCUUUCUGGGAACUAUUUUCUCCUCUGUUGGGGGCCGGGAAGAGUGACAGAAAUGCAUCUAGGUCCCUGAUGUAGGCAAGAUACAUUCAAAUACCACACUUAAGCCUCCUACGGCUGACAAGAGCCCUGAGUCCCCAGCUAUGGGACAGUCAGCCACUGCCCAGUCUGACAGUGUUUGUGGAGUGGCUGCAGGACAUGGGAUGGGCAGGGCCAUAGACAGCAACUCUCCUGAAACACACACACGGU